rfam:Camelus ferus unplaced genomic scaffold scaffold236, whole genome shotgun sequence.
GAGGAUAUAGCUCAGUGGUAGAGUGCAUGCUUAGCAUGCAUGAGGUCCUGGGUUCAAUCCCCAGUACCUCCA